CAGCAUCUACACGAGACCACGCCACACUGUAGCGAGUAAAAAACGACUCUCAGAUCAACGUCCAUUUGAUCAAGGUAAGAUCGUUCCCACCAUUAAAAUCAAACAUGGCUCAACCUGACUCGAUCAGCACAUUGAGGCGGAGACGCAGCGGCCUCGCCAACCGCUUUACAAUCACGAAACGCCAACUCGAUGAAUACGAAGAGUCUGGUCAAGUAAACCACGGCUACUUAGUAUCUUGCCGUCAAGCGUUCGACGACGUCUGGAAAAAUUAGUCGCGGUUCAAGACGAGUUAGAAGGGUUAGAUGAAGGGGAAGUCGGUCGGGCCGCCGCGUUGUAUCAAG
rnacentral:misc_RNA from 1 species